UCCUGGCCGUAAACGAGGUGGACUUGGUAUUGGGAUGGCUACGAGCUGUCCUAGUGUCGUAGGGAAGCCGUUAAGUCCACCGCCUGGGGAGUACGGUCGCAAGGCUGAAACUUAAAGGAAUUGGCGGGGGAGCACAGCAACGGGAGGAGCGUGCGGUUUAAUUGGAUUCAACGCCGGAAAGCUUACCGGAGGGGAGACUGCUAG
rnacentral:rRNA from 1 species